UACGUAGGGUGCAAGCGUUGUCCGGAAUUAUUGGGCGUAAAGAGCUCGUAGGCGGUCUGUCGCGUCUGCUGUGAAAAUCCAGGGCUCAACCCUGGACCUGCAGUGGGUACGGGCAGACUAGAGUGCGGUAGGGGAGAUCGGAAUUCCUGGUGUAGCGGUGAAAUGCGCAGAUAUCAGGAGGAACACCGGUGGCGAAGGCGGAUCUCUGGGCCGUAACUGACGCUGAGGAGCGAAGCAUGGGGAGCGAACAGG
rnacentral:rRNA from 1 species